rnacentral:lncRNA from 1 species
CCCCCCCCAAACCCCCAGAAAACCCCCCAGGGCCCGAACGCAUUCCUUUUUCCCAAGGGGCCCCCCCGGGGUAAAAACCCCCCCCCCCUCCCUUUUUUCCCUUUUGUAAAAAACCCCUUUUUUCCCACCAGGUCGGCUUUUCCCCCAACUCUUGGGGGGGGGCCCCCCCCAUUGUUUCCCCCCCCCCCCCACGGAAAAAGGGCCCCGGGGCCGGGCUUAAAAUUCUUUUUUGGGGGGGGGGGGGGACCCCCCGGUUUUUGGGCCCUUUUGUUUUUUUUUGGGAGCCCGGGGGCCGGGCCCUGCUUCCGGGUUUCCCGGCCGCUUCAACAUCCCCCCGCAAGCCCCUCCCUCCUCAAGCUCCUUCACUCCCCGCGCUUUCGGGCGCACGGAAAAGCGGGGGCGCUCUAGGAGCACCUGCCAGACGUCGCACCCCCGACUCGGGCCCACAGGUGCGAAUGCAGCGCCUGAGCGAGAGUCAGGGCUGCACACACAGCGCCGUCACCUCCUCUGCCCCUGCCUGACGGAGCCUGAGCCGGGGCCCCAGGACCACCGCGGAUGGAGAGCAAGAGAGAAGCGGCAGAGGACUCGCGGCCGCAGCCACGGGCGAGCAGCAGCGUGGACCUGGGGAGGGAGCACCAGCCUGGACCUGGAAGCGGAGGGCGACCCGCUGCCUCCCAGGGAGGCGCCGCCCGACCUCCGACGACCUGGAGUGAGCAGGCCCGGGGCCUCGGCUGAGCGUCUGCUCAGGACUGCGCUGUCCGGGCGCCCACAGCCCUGUGCAAGGCCCCCAGCAGGGCCCCCAGACUCAGCGAGCCGCGGGCCAAGGACGUGCUGGGCGGACAAGGAGAUGCGGAGGCAGCCAUCAGCAGUCCUCUGCCCGCACCGCGCCCCAGCUUCUGUUCUGAGAUGGCGAAGCUGAGGUUCAAAACCUUAAAGGGAAUGUAUUCAUCAGUGUGUGCAUAAGGCAGGAGCAGAAGAACACAGUGAGAACACUGGCGUCACUCAUUCCCCUGUGGAGAGCAGGAGAGAGCCACAUGGACCACAGCCCUGCUUUUCCUGAUGUCACUGUAGCCUCGCUGACCCCAGAGCCGGGCCGGUUUCCUUGUUGCUGGAACAGAUGGGAGGCCCCCUGCCGUUCACAAGCGCUUCCAUCCUUUAGCCCAUUUUGCCUCUAUGGCCCUUGUGAUUCCCAGACCCUCUCUUAAAUUAAAUUCGUGUCCUUGUUCCUCAGCCUCUACUCUGCUGUUUGCCUCCACUGUGCAGGAAGACUUGACAUGCGUGAGCUGUGACGAGCUGAGCCAGACCCUGCCAUUGCCCGGUCCACAGGAGAGGGAUGUGCCAGGGACUCGGAGCAGCCCCUGCUGACCCUGAGAACUCUGAUGGGAGUGACAGCGAUGGGGGGACCCCCUUCCCUCUGUGCUGGUCUCCCAGCAUGUGGCCUCACUGGAGGCAGAACCCGAGUCCUGUGUGGUAGGGCAGCACACUUGCUGAUUCUGC